AUGUCGGGGGUGAGGGCGCCAUGCCGCCACCUGGAAGUACUCCCACUCCGCACCGCCCAGCAGCUCCACCGCAUGGGGACAGAGUCGGAGCUGGGCCAGGGCUCGGCUGCCGUGUGCUGGGCCCACUCGCAGGUGGUUCUGACCCAGUUGGGGCCAGCGCUGAAGAAGGCUGGAGAGUCCCACACGCUGCAAUGUGCCACCUGCAGGUUCACUCUGAGCAGCGCUUGGAUGUGCUGGUUCAGACGGGAGCCCGGGAAGGGGCUGUGGUGGCUGGCCAGGUACUAUGAUCCCUCCAUCCACAGAUACGCCUCCUCGAUCCAGGGGAGAUCUGCAGCCUCCAAGGACAGCACCACUUUCUGCUUGCACAUGACCAGCCUGAAAGCUGAGGACACCGCUGUGUAG